UUAACUGCACACUCUAAUUACAUGUUGCAAUUGAAUGCAUAUUUACUUGUGCCUUUUCAACUUUCCAGAAACCUUAAGCUGCUUGGGCUCAAAGGAAAAUGUCGAUCCAUCGUGUGCUAUUAAGAACAUCUCACAUACUUUGUUGAAUGAUUCAAGAUGACCACAAGUUCUUUGGAUCUGUCGUUGCUGGGAACAGCGAUCCUGCGAAGUGGCACUGGUUGCCUACCAGCUAGCCUCUGUCCGAGCAGGCCACUUCACCGUUACUUGAAGCUGCUGCCGGCUAAAAGAAGCUGAGCAAGCUCCGUGCGCAUAUGCCCACUGAUGUAACCUGGAGGUAAAUUAUCUCGCUGAUGUGUUAGAUUUACUUCUUUGCAUACUUCAGUGCUCCAAGAUACUGAAUGCUAAACCGCUCUGCUGUAAAUUUUGUAUUCUAGGUGAAAAGAUCU